AUGUUGCAGUGUUCACUGGGGUGGUCGCUUGUCCUCACUGAGAAAGUGAGGUGAGCAAACACUCAAGGCAAGCGGUGACUGGAGGAGGAGCCAGGCCCCAUAGCGAGUCUGGGCCCUCUCAACUCAGGAUCCCAGGACCAGGCAGAAAACCAGCAAGGCAGCAGCAGAGAAAACCAGGCGUGUGCAGGCCUGCCGCACUUUACUGAGCUUUGCUUUCUGACUUUCCAGAGACUGCAUUUCUUACAAAGGGAAGGUUUGUGGCAACCUUCUGCGUCAGCGCUAUUUUUCCAACCGCAGGCCUUCGCUUUGUGUCUCUGUGUCACAUUUGGACCUCGUUCCUUGGCAGACAGACUUUGCAAUCCCAGGGACUCUGAGUUUCACGCAUCGCCAUUAGCACCACAGAAUUCAUCUGGAGGCUGGGGAGAGAUGCCCGGGAGUCCUCCAAACAUUUGAAGCUUCUCCAGCUUCACUUGUCUGUUUCUUACUUGGUCUGUGCUCAUUCCGCCUCACUUUGUAUUUGCUAGAUGAAGGGGAUAAUGAUUAUGACUGUUUCCGUAAGCAAGAGCAAGGGAGGCAAUUAGUUCAAUAAAUGUUAAUUAAGUGCUAACUAUAUGCAGCUACUGUGAGAGGUGCUGGAAAUACAAGAUCAGGAAAAGAACCCCUGUCCAGAAGAAGUUCACAAAAAUCUCUUAACUCUUUGCAUCCCAACAACAAGGUAACUUUCUGGCCAUUACAGAAUGUCACAUUUGAAUUUCCCAAGAUUUCCUUUAUAACUUUCUUGUUCUUGCAAACUUCACGUGCCUGAAAUUUCUCAUGUUUGCCUUUUUUUCCUCAAUCAAGUUGACAGAUACCUCUGCUGGCUAGGUCUCUUGGCGAUCCUGAAUAAACUGUGUUCGUGGUGCAAAUUAAGCAUGUAGAAAGCACAUUCAUCUUUUUAAAUGCAGUGUCUAGCAAGUUCUUGCUACCUGGAAAGUGUUCCGUAAAUAUUUGUUUUAAUCGGGAAAAGGAUUUUCAAGUUGUCAGGGUACAAUUUAAUUUCAACAUGCUCUGUAAGCUUGAGAAGAGCAGACAGGAUGUGCAUAAUGUGGUUUUCUUGGGAAAAAGGAGAAGGGGGAGCGACGUCUGGGAACUGAAACUGACACUCAAGGACUUGCAUCUGCACUUCCUGUUUCUUGGACCUGAGCCUCUUGGAACUCAGCGUCAGCCUCAGAUCAGGGCAGGUUGGUGGUUGAAGCAUUUAGGGAAGGAUGUUUAUAACAACUUAUUUUUUACUUAUUAUAGAAGGAGUGCAUGCUCAUGAUGACCAAAAUGAGUCAUUGAGGUAGCCAGGGGUAGACCAGGCCUUCAAACUCAGCUUGUCUGUCCCCUAGAGCAGGGGUUCCCAACCCCCAGUCCAUGGCCCAUUAGGAACUGGGCCACACAGCAGAAGGUGAGCUCCAGCUGUAUUGACAGCCACUCCGGUCACUUGCAUUACAGCCUGAGGUCCGCCUCCUGCCAGAUCAGCUGCAAGAUUAGAUGCUUAGGAGCGCUAACCCUAUCGUGAACUGUGCAUACAAGGGAUCUAGGUUGCAUGCACCUUAUGAGAAUCUAAUGCCUGAUGAUCUGUCUCUGUCUCCCCUCUCCCCCAGAUGGAACCGUCCAGUUGCAGGAAAACAAGCUCAGGGCUCCCAGAUUCUCCAUUAUGGUGACUUGUGUAAAUUUUCAUUCUUUAUUACAAUGUCAUCAUAAUAGAAAUAAAGUGCACGAUCAAUGUAAUAAGCUUGAA